UGGAGCCUCUGAAGCCUCCAAUCACAUAGAUCUUACCGUCGAUUACAGACGCGGCGGGAUAAACUCGAGGUUGACGCAUUUUGGGGAGUCUACGCCAUUGAUAAGUUCGAUAAUCAAAAAUCGACACUCUGUUGCUUCUCCUUCUCCUAACGAAUCCACCGAUUAUGUAUAUCUGUGAACCAUUUGAGACAACGGUCGGGUAUUGAGGAUAUUGUUGGUUAGGAAACCAUGGGACGAUGGGUUUCAAUUUCUGUUUCGGAAUUGGG